UUCAUUCAGGUGGUUGCUGGGGCUUAGAAUUUUGUUUUUGGUUUACAUGCCUAAGAUAUUCUACUGCUCACCUCCAGCUUUUCCAUGGCAAGAGCCUUCAAUCAAAGCAUAGCUGAAAUCCGCCCUCUCUACAAAGUUUCCUCACUCCCCUGCCUGCCUUUGAGUCUACAUGAAAUGACUCCAGGGUUGAAAGGGCUCCAUAGCUCAGGGGAAGGAAACCCAGGAGCCUGAUGUAUAGGCAAAAGGUAAAAGCUCUUACCAGUUUGACUUCUAGCCUCUCUCUGUGCAAACAGGUUGUAGGAA
rnacentral:lncRNA from 13 species